CCCGCGGGAAAGUGCCGAUCAAGGUGACUACAUAUAGGUGUUCUAAUGUGUCAAAUUCACGAUUCAGCUAUGUUGGAUUUUUGUAUGGAACAGCUACCGAGUUUGUUUCUGUGCCAUAAAAAGGGAGCUACCGAGUUUGUUUACAAUUUGCUCUAAAACCGCACUUUUCCCCCCGCGACCUCCACGCUAAUAUAGUGACAAAGCUGUAUCACCAUUUAUAUACCCACCAUGGUGCCGAUAAUGUGUCCGUCGCGAGUUUCAAUGUUUUUCUGGAAAGUGUACCAGUCCCAAGCCGACUCCCGGUAGGGAGUCUGAAGCUGGAUCCCGGCGGGAAGUUUGCAGCCGGAUCUCUUUUGCAGUUCGUCAAUAAGGUAGAAGACUGGCAGCCCAAAACUUUCCGCAUUUUUGGAUCAUCUGUAGAACAGGCAGAGAUCUGGAGGCGCAGCGAUCACAUUGUCAUGAUUGUCUGGUAGUUCACUCAAAAAUGCUAUAACAAUCGCCAAGCUUGCUGUAAUGUCACCAAGUGCCUCGUCACCCAUGAAUAGGCGCCUAUGUCAGUGGUCUAACAACUCUUAGCGCGCUAAUGGCAUAGUUCCCCUGCCGCAUAGAGAGUUGCCACAAUGAUAUUAGGUUAGCUAAGGUCAGUUAACUGACUGGUGGGAAACGGGAGCUUAAGCAAUGGCUAUUCUUUAUGCAUUUAAGAGAUAGUCUACCAGAAUGGAUGACUUUUUUUUGUACAAUUUUAUGUUUUCUGAUGGUUUUGGUUGCAAAACAUGAGUUUUAACUUUUCCAAUGCUUUCAAUUGUACAAAGCAUUAGAGCUAGAAACAUGAUCUUGUAAACACUACACACCUUAACUGGUAGUUUGCUAAAAAAAAUGCUGCAACAAUCGUCAAGCUCGCUGUAA